rnacentral:rRNA from 1 species
AACGUAGGAGACAAACGUUAUCCGGAUUUACUGGGCGUAAAGGGCGUGUAGGUGGUUUUGUAAGUCUGGCGUGAAAUUUUUCGGCUUAACCGGGAAAGGUCGUCGGAUACUGCAAGGCUAGAGGACGGUAGAGGCGUGUGGAAUUCCGGGUGUAGUGGUGAAAUGCGUAGAGAUCCGGAGGAACACCAGUGGCGAAGGCGACACGCUGGGCCGUACCUGACACUGAUGCGCGACAGCAUGGGGAGCAAACAGG